AUGACAUCAUCUCCAGAUUGCAGCCUCACAGUGAGAAGGGGUCACACAAACACUUCCCAGGAAGUGUCUGAAAUAAGAAUUGUGCUCUCCGGAGACAGAGAAAAGACUUUUCAUCAUCCAAAGCCCUGUCAGUGGGUUGAGAAGCCAACACCAGAACCAUUAAUGUCUGCCUAAUUGACUUCUGUGGCUAAGUUUAUAAACUGGCAAGAACACCUUUUAUAUACAUUUGAGUAAGUAUGGACAUAUAUAAACAAACCUAUUUUUAAAAAAAUGGAGAGGGAAAGAAGUCACAUCUUUUAUAAAUCAAAUAUACAAUAUUAAUUAAUUCUUGUAAAUCCAUGAGAUUGAGAAUGAUAAAAUCCCGAGUACCAAUAAUCACUCAGUUAACAGCACAGUAGUCUAAAAUUUAUUCACUUGCAGGCACUUGUGUCAGAAAAGGAUAAUGUGGUCAUUUUACUGUGACCACCAAUUGUUAAGACAUAAGUAUCAUGAAUAGCUUAAAAAACUUUGGCCUCCAACCUGUGUUAAGUUACUUGCUAAAUUUACUCCCUAAUAAAAUGAAAUUGAAUAAAACA
rnacentral:lncRNA from 1 species